rnacentral:rRNA from 1 species
AGAGCGAACGCUGGCGGCAGGCCUAACACAUGCAAGUCGAGCGGCCGUAGCAAUACGGCAGCGGCAGACGGGAGAGUAACACGUGGGAACGCGCCCUUCGGUUCGGAAUAACUCAGGGAAACUUGGGCUAAUACCGGAUACGCCCUUACGGGGAAAGAUUUAUUGCCGAAGGAACGGCCCGCGUCCGAUUAGCUUGUUGGUGAGGUAACGGCUCACCAAGGCGACGAUCGGUAGCUGGUCUGAGAGGAUGACCAGCCUCACUGGGACUGAGACACGGCCCAGACUCCUACGGGAGGCAGCAGUGGGGAAUAUUGGACAAUGGCGCAAGCCUGAUCCAGCCAUGCCGCGUGGGUGAUGAAGGCCCUAGGGUUGUAAAGCCCGUUUCGGCGGGAAGAUAAUGACGGUACCGCAGAAGAAGCCCGGCUAACUUCGUGCCAGCAGCCGC